CUUGAAUAGAGAAUUUUUAUAAAACAAGUUGCAAUCUAAAAAAAAAAAUACUUAAUGCUUAAAAACAUUUUUCCACAAAAAAAGGCUAGGCUCAUUUUUUUUUGCCAUAUUAGCAAAAGCAACUGGGCAAAGAUAUACCUACAACAACAAAAACACAUAAGUGAGAUAAAUCAAGUGGAGCAAUUGUCACUCUUUCUGCCAUGUCAUUCUUUAAUAUUCAAUCGUACUGCGUACGUGAACACUUGUACUUUAACAAAAACAGCUGUAAAUAAAUUGCCUUCAUUCAUUGUUAUGUCACCAACUUUUGAUUUUGUGCGAAAC
rnacentral:lncRNA from 1 species